UUCUGAGGAGCUCCCUCAAGAAGAAAAGAAAUGCUGUAGACCGCUUUGAGGAGGCCAUCUUCUUCAGCCUCAAAGGAGAGGUCUGCAGGAACAUGGGAUGCGUGAAGCUGGCCAAGGAAAUGGGCAGGCAGGUGCUGAGACUGCUGGAAGAGCGGUUCCCCUGGACCCAUGCCAGGGCCUUUGUCAAGUCUCAGUGGGAACAGCUGCAGCAUGCUCCUCAGGCCACAGGCAGAGUGUCCUCCCUUCCCCAGGAGGCUCGAUAAGCAGCAGAAGGGACAACACGGGAGAGGAAGAGCCAUUUUGUACCUGCUCCCACACAUCCAGGCCCAGGCCUGCCCAGGUUUCAGCCCAUUCCCAAGCCAUAGCAGUGACGUGAGUAAAUCAGACCCUAUAGCCAGUAAGGAUAUAGAGCAGGAGGAAGAAGCAAGCCUGGCUGGUUUGGCAGAGCAGAUGCCUCUCCUUGCUCGAGGAUCUCUACAGCCAAGAGGGCACAUCUGGUGGACGGAGGUUCUCCCGCCUGACAGCACUCAUGAAGGCCAACACAGACAGCAAGAUGCGCUCCUGUCAGGCAGCAGACUCACACAUUGGACAACCCUUCAAUUAAGGAAAAUAAGUCAGGUUAAAAGCUAUGUGCUUUCAUGGGGUGCUGAAUCGGUAGCUACAGAUGUGACCUUGCUAAGCCAGCUUUUGGCUGCUGAUAACAGAUGCUUUUCUACAGGCUUAGACAAUCAGUGCAGACAGCGGGUCUCCUGUUUCUCCAAGUAACAUAAUUCAGGUGCCCUGUGUCUGGAAUGCAGACAGCCUGCUAGGACAGUAAACCACAAAUUAACAAAGAAGGAGCAGACUGGUGGAAGGAGUCAUAGGCGAUGAGACAACUGGCCAAAGCCAUUCAAGGGUCCACCAACCUGACCCAGGUCAAAGAGCAUACAGUGAGGAAGAUGACGACCUUCAUCAGAAAGACCAUCAAACAUUCAUCAAAAGACCAUCAGAAAGACCAUCAAACCACCACCAAGAGAUACGACGCGUGUGCAGACUCCCACACUGGACAACCCUCUUUUAC
ensembl:lncRNA